GAGAAUGAGUUUGUCAACGUCAAAGUGAGAACACCUCAAGGCAAUUUCGGGGAAGAGGUUAAGAAAAUUCCGAAAGACGAAGCCAUUUGCAGAUUCUGCUUCAACGUAUACCGACACAACAUGCUCCAGAAAAAAUGCAAAUGUAAAUUUUCCAUGAUUCAUCGAACAUGUGAAGUCGAAUGGACGAAGAAGCACGGGAACAACAAAUGUGAAGUUUGUGAACAAGAUAUCGAAAACAUACCUAUAACGGUAUCAUGGGAUCCUUUGUCUUCCACAACCAGGACUUGCAAGAAAGAGCUAAUUAAGAGCAAGAAAAGGUGAGAUUAGUUAACUAAUUGAAACCCCAUUAAAAUUUAAUUUGGACAUUGUUAAAUAUUAUGUUUGAUGAUUGAAAAUUGAAAUAG